rnacentral:rRNA from 1 species
GAGGACGAACGCUGGCGGCGUGCUUAACACAUGCAAGUCGAACGGUAAGGCCCUUCGGGGUACACGAGUGGCGAACGGGUGAGUAACACGUGGGUGAUCUGCCCUGCACUUUGGGAUAAGCCUGGGAAACUGGGUCUAAUACCGAAUAGGACCAUGGACUUCACGGUUUGUGGUGGAAAGCUUUUGCGGUGUGGGAUGGGCCCGCGGCCUAUCAGCUUGUUGGUGGGGUAAUGGCCUACCAAGGCGACGACGGGUAGCCGGCCUGAGAGGGUGACCGGCCACACUGGGACUGAGAUACGGCCCAGACUCCUACGGGAGGCAGCAGUGGGGAAUAUUGCACAAUGGGCGCAAGCCUGAUGCAGCGACGCCGCGUGAGGGAUGACGGCCUUCGGGUUGUAAACCUCUUUCAGCGCAGACGAAGCGCAAGUGACGGUAUGUGCAGAAGAAGGACCGGCCAACUACGUG